CUCGUAGGCGGCCAACUAAGUCAGACGUGAAAUCCCUCGGCUUAACCGGGGAACUGCGUCUGAUACUGGAUGGCUUGAAUUCGGGAGAGGGAUGCGGAAUUCCAGGUGUAGCGGUGAAAUGCGUAGAUAUCUGGAGGAACACCGGUGGCGAAGGCGGCAUCCUGGACCGAGAUUGACGCUGAGGAGCGAAAGCCAGGGGAGCAAACGGGAUUAGAUACCCCGGUAGUCCUGGCCCUAAACGAUGAAUGCUUGGUGUGGCGGGUAUCGAUCCCUGCCGUGCCGAAGCUAACGCAUUAAGCAUUCCGCCUGGGGAGUACGGUCGCAAGGCUGAA
rnacentral:rRNA from 1 species